rnacentral:rRNA from 1 species
AUUGAACGCUGGCGGCAGGCCUAACACAUGCAAGUCGAACGAGUGGCGGACGGGUGAGUAAUGUCUGGGAAACUGCCUGAUGGAGGGGGAUAACUACUGGAAACGGUAGCUAAUACCGCAUCCCCUCAGCUGUGCCCAGAGGGGAUGAGCUAGUUGGUGGGGUAACGGCUCACCAGGGCGACGAUACCUAGCUGGUCUGAGAGGAUGACCAGCCAAACGGGAACGGAGAAACGGGCCAGAGUACUACGGGAGGCAGCAGGGGGAAUAUUGCACAAUGGGCGCAAGCCUGAUGCAGCCAUGCAGCGUGUAUGAAGAAGGCCUUCGGGUUGUAAAGUACUUUCAGCGGGGAGGCGUUACCCGCAGAAGAAGCACCGGCUAACUCCGUGCCAGCAGCCGCGGUAAUUC